UACGGAGGGUGCAAGCGUUGCUCGGAAUUAUUGGGCGUAAAGGGUAGGUAGGUGGUCUCGUUUGUCUGGGGUGAAAGCCUUGAGCUUAACUCAAGAGGUGCCCCAGAAACGGCGAGACUGGAGUCUUGGAGAGGGUCGUGGAAUUCCCGGUCGUAGCGGUGAAAUGCGUAGAGAUCGGGAGGAACACCAGAGGCGAAGGCGGCGACCUGGACAAGUACUGACACUCAACUACGAAAGCGUGGGGAGCAAACAGG
rnacentral:rRNA from 1 species